GGUUUGGAGAAGGGUUGUAACAUCUGCCACCCAAUGGGUCACCAGGGUUGACGCAGUUGCUCCAAGUGGCUAGCUGGUUGAUUCCCUCUCUUCCGCAUCACUCUGUAUCCCUUUCCUGAAGCUGCAUGCUAAGCAACAAAGCUAACCACCUGCUAUGGAGAAGGGCCAUUCUUCUCUCAAAGGAACAUGAGUAGCUGUACCCACCUGCUAGGAUCGGCUAACCAUCUCUCAAAGCCCAACAUGGCAUGGUUGCUUGGUGGAGAGGGUUCCCUUAGAUUCCUUUAUCAAUCUAUUAGCUUCUCCGUGGGAAUUGAAAU
ensembl:misc_RNA 7SK 7SK RNA